GUUGACACUGGCAGAGUAAAUUCAAGUGUUAUGGAUUGAUUUCCAUGUAUUGUAAAUUUGGUUUACCUUCAUGAACAUAUCAAUGCUAGGAUCUGGUUUAAUGUUUGCUACUUUCUCUCUUCUUGCCAGUUCUGCCAACAUCUCUGCCCGAGCCACAAAGACAAUCAUGUUGGCUGAUAUACGCUGCAGUUUUUUGGGGCACAAAUUCAUUCAUUUCAUGGCCAUUAUCAGAAUCAAGCCUUCCCGCCAAAGCCAGCAAGUAGGUCGUCUUUCCAGAACUCGGAGGGCCUAAAAGCAAGGUCAAUCUGCUGGGCUUGAUGAUCCCACUGACAUCUUUCAAAAUGCUAAACGGUUUCUUUCUGCUGGGAAUUAUACGGAGAAAGCUCAGAAUCCCCUAAGAAUGAAGAGGAGCACAGAUCAAAUUCAGACACUUGAAGAUUCAGAAAUAAGGUGUACCAAACCCGCCUUUUGGCGGAAUCCGACUAAUCAUGCUCGACCGGGCUUGCGAAUUAAGGCCGAAAGUCUUUCAGCGGGUGGCGGGGUAAGAAUGUGCUUUUAAAUGACUAAUAAACUUGUUCAAAAUAGAAACUAUUGUCAACCAUAUAGUAUUAACUAUGACAAUGCCAUGA